UUUAAUAUGGCAGAAUUUAGUGCAUUGGAUUUAAAUCCCAAUUAUAAAGAUUCAUUUUCUUUUAUUAAAA
rnacentral:tRNA from 1 species